rnacentral:SRP_RNA from 1 species
AGGCUAGGGCAAUGAUGGAUUUGGUAAGCGUGUCAGGUCUGGAAGGAAGCAGCACAUAUCAAGUCUUAUCAUGUGCCUGAAUUAAAU